rnacentral:snRNA from 10 species
GGAUGUGAGGGCGAUCUGGCUGCGACAUCUGUUACCCCAUUGAUCGCCAGGGUUGAUUCGGCUGAUCUGGCUGGCUAGGCGGGUGUCCCCUUCCUCCCUCACCGCUCCAUGUGCGUCCCUCCCGAAGCUGCGCGCUCGGUCGAAGAGGACGACCAUCCCCGAUAGAGGAGGACCGGACUUCGGUCAAGGGUACACGAGUAGCUGCGCUCCCCUGCUAGAACCUCCGAACAAGCUCUCAAGGAAAGAAUUCGAGGGCGAGCUGGUGGUGUUAAACAGCAACUUUUAUUGAAGCGGCAAUGCACACAGUAGGAGCAGAGGUGCUGCUCCUUGUG